rnacentral:rRNA from 1 species
AGAGUUUGAUCAUGGCUCAGGAUGAACGCUAGCUACAGGCUUAACACAUGCAAGUCGAGGGGAAACGACAUCGAAAGCUUGCUUUUGAUGGGCGUCGACCGGCGCACGGGUGAGUAACGCGUAUCCAACCUGCCCAUCACUUGGGGAUAACCUUGCGAAAGUAAGACUAAUACCCAAUGAUAUCUCUAGAAGGCAUCUGAAAGAGAUUAAAGAUUUAUCGGUGAUGGAUGGGGAUGCGUCUGAUUAGCUUGUUGGCGGGGUAACGGCCACCAAAGCAACGAUCAGUAGGGGUUCUGAGAGGAAGGUCCCCCANAUUGGAACUGAGACACGGUCAAACUCCGACGGAGGCA